GCGGCAGACGGGUGAGUAACACGUAGGUAACCUGCCCUCAAGACGGGGAUAACGCCUGGAAACGGGCGCUAAUACCGGAUGACCUUAGUUGGGGAAGCACCGGCUAAGGAAAGGCUUUGGCGCUUGAGGAGGGGCCUGCGGCCCAUCAGUUAGUUGGUAGGGUAACGGCCUACCAAGGCGAAGACGGGUAGGGGGUGUGAGAGCACGGNCCCCCACACUGGGACUGAGACACGGCCCAGACUCCUACGGGAGGCAGCAGCGGGGAAUAUUGCGCAAUGGACGGAAGUCAGACGCAGCGACGCCGCGUGGGUGAAGAAGGCCUUCGGGUUGUAAAGCCCUAAUCUGUGGGAAGAGAAAGGACGGUACCAUAGGAAUAAGCGUCGGCUAAACUAACGUGCCAGCAGCCGCGGUAAGACGUAGGACGCGAGCGUAAUCCGGAUAUACUGGGCGUAAAGCGUGUGUAGGCGGCGUGACAAGUAGGGCGUGAAAGCCCCGUGCACAACGCGGGGAGGCCGCACAAUACUGUCAGGCUAGAGGGCAUCAAAGGGGUGUGGAAUACCCGGAGUAGCGGUAAAAUGCGCAGAUAUCGGGAGG
rnacentral:rRNA from 1 species